rnacentral:tRNA from 1 species
GCGGAUGUGGCGUAAUUGGUAGCCGCGCUAGACUUAGAAUCUAGUGCCGAAAGGUGUAUGGGUUCGAGUCCCUUCAUCCGCACAA